GGAGAUGGAGACAGAGAGAGAGAGAGAGAGAGAGAGAGAGACAGAAGGUGUCCAGGCUGGGGCUGAUCUGGAGCCCGUAUCUCCACGUUCGAUCAAAUAGAGGCUCACAGCCACCGGAAAGUUUGCAAACUGAGAAGUCAUUUCUGCACUCCCCACCCCCCCCAGUAGCUCUGAACAUCAAAGUGCCUCAGAGUCCCCAGCUCUUUGCCGAUCACCAGGACUGUGUUGAUCGUGCCCUGGGAGGUGAGGUGAUGGUGCAAGGUCAAGCCUCAACGGUUACUUGCGGAAAAACCAAGGACAAACAGGAAGAAUUCAAACAGGAAAUGACUCAUAAACCAUAGACUGGGGCGCUCCCCUCCCUCUUACUCUCCCCCUCACAGAGAGCCGUGUUUCCAUUCGCUUUGCUUUUAGGAUUCCCCCUCCCCCCCCAGCAACAACAACAACACAGUCCCCUCCCGACUCCCUCCUGUGAGGGAGAUUCAGUUUUUCCAAAGUCCUGACACGCUUCCCGGCGGUCUUCUCUCACGCGUUUCUCGCAAGCCGUCUUGAAACCGAAUGCUUGUGUUCUGUGUUUGCUGCGAGGAGACAGGAUUCAUCAAAGAUUCGUAAACGCACCGUGUAGACAACCCUCGGUGGCAGGUGCAAACGUUACGGACGGAAAAAUCGAUCUGAGAGGUGGAAGUUCCUCCCGCUCCUCGGAGCUCCUCGGGAGGCCGCCUGUGUUCAGCUCUGGGCCCUGGUGGCUGCUCUGAAAAGGGAACUUGGGUCAAGAGGAGCUUAAAUUGGGCUGCAGUUGGAAUCACAGGGAUGCCCGACAAUGUGUACUGAUGCAGUUGGUUUGUGUGGCAGGACCCACAAAAUGAGUGCCCCCCGCCCCCUUCCCAGUGGCCUGGCCCACGUCACAAAUCUAAACCCAAGUCAGCCUGCGCCUUUGGGAAACACCUGUCAAGGAAACCUCGCAUACACCAAUCGAGAUCCUCUAAUUCAGCUUUGGCUAGCUUACCUGACUCUAGAAAAGAGGACCAUUAGCUUUAUUGGGAAGUCUCAGACCUCCUAGCCAAUCAUGCCUGUUUCCACGUUGCCUUUUCUAACGCUCUAUAAAACUCACUCUGGCCAAAAUCCCUCAGGAAGAGUCUCCAACUGCUCCCCCAUCCCUGGACCACUUGCCUUUGAACAAAGGACAUCCAACCCGUUUUUAGUUUUAGUUUUGUCAUGUGACAGUGCUAAAAGCAAGUUCCCAAAGUUAUGCCAGCAAAAAGUGUUAUGGAAGAUCGCCAGCUUACCAGAAACUUCCAACAACCGAUUACCAGGCCAGGAGAAACUGGACGCAGAGAGGAGCUAACCCAUCAAAAUGGCAGCCACCAUGUCUUUGUCCCAAAGCCCGGGGUGGGAGGUCAACCAUCAGAGCCACCAACUCUUAAUUCAUAUGAACUGAUGGUAAUUGUAUUUCUCAGACCACAGCAAAAAUGCAACAACAGAUUAGAAGGGACCGGUUGAUAAGAGACAGGCUCUACGACACAAGAAGUAACUACUGUUCCUCCCGGAGGUUAGGAGAUUAUAGAAGAACUGAAGAGACUACUGUAAUUCAUAGCUAUAAUGACCAACAUGAUUAAUCAAGAGGUGGUGAAAUGAUAGUUACUAUCGUCUAUUUAAGAGGAAGGGUGCCAAUGAAAUAUUCUAGACUUAUUUCUGUAAAAAAUGUUUAUAACAAAAAAGUUACUUGACGAUGUAAACUUCAGUUAUCUGGAAAAAAAUGCGUCGAUGCAAAUCACUUUGUUCCUUAAGUUAGGAUUUACUAUCUCAUUUUUAGUUAAUAAAAACCCAUCUGUAACCACUCUC